UAUAUAUUAAGUGUGUGGUGUUUUGUAAAUUUUCUUAUUAUUUCCUAUUGUAUUGAACAAGUUCUCUUGUAGCCUGUAGGAUAUAUAAUCACGACUCAUGGCCAGAUGCAAUUUUUCAGACCUGAGCUGUUACAGUGGAAGAGCAAUACAAGUUUAUGACUUGAAUUAUUGAUGAAGGUGGUGACUUAGUGGUGGAGGUUGUGUACGUACUUUGCUGGAUUAAUUGCAGGGACAUGCCUCCAUGUAUGGUGGCAAGCAGCUUAAAGAUCUAGCCUCCAAUGAUGCACUGCCGCUGACAAAUUUGGAAUUUUCAUGAUAGAUCUUGUAUCAGACUCGGAGAUGGCACAGAGGUAAGAGUUCGAGAUGAGCGUCGCAGGAUCUGGAGAGGUGGAGCCUUUGAUCAGUCAGAUCCUUGGAAAGAUUGACAGGUUCACGGAGAUUGUGAGUGUUUUCGGUUCUUGUGGAUCCGCAGUUUUGAUUUGUUGAGUUCAUGUGAUGUUUGGAAGGCUGAAGAAAGGAUGAAGAAUCUGAUAUAAGGGCAAUGACAGGGAUAGAGUUGUUGAGGCACUACUUCCAGAACACUCAAGGUCUUAUUUUUGUGGUUGAUUGCAAUGACAUGGAUCGAGUUGUUGAGGCAAGGGAUGAGUUGCACAGGAUGUUGAAUUAGCUUUAGGUUUUCAAACAACAAAAAUGAUCUAAUUGGAUUACUUCAGCGAUUCUAGUUCAGUCAAAGACCACAAACCAAGCUUCGACGAUGUUCAGAGAAACCAAGACGUCCUUAUGAGAAGGAACAUUUGGAUGUUGAGCUGAAGCUUGUUAGAGAAUAUGGGCUUCGGUGCAAGAGGGAGUUGUGGAGGGUCCAGUAUAUGCUUUGACCGCAUCCGUAAUGCUGCUAUGGAACUUUUACCCUGGACAAGAAAAAUUCUCGCCGUAUCUUUAGACCCAGUUGUGGUUAUAUUUUAUUUUGUUCAAUGUGCUUAUGGGAGGUUGUUCUAAUUGGAAAAAGUGUUGUGGUUGUACUUUGAC